ensembl:lncRNA
CGUGUUUUCCAAACGAAACUAAAAAAAAACAGGCCUACCUCGUUGGUGGAUUCUUUGGUCUACGUAGAAGGAGACAGAAGCCGUGAGAAAGACUCAUUGCAGAGAGAGUGGAAGUCAACGGGACGUACCUGAGCACAUGGCCCGCGCACACGUCCUCAGUCAGCACGCUUUGUUUCUCCUGCUCGCCGCUGCACGCUUCUCCUCCAUCCGUCCGUCUCUCUGCGCCUCUCUUCUAGUCGUUCUCCUCCUUCCCCAUUCUCUCUCUCUCUCUCUCUCUCUCUCUCUCUCUCCCUCCUUCUCUCCUCCCCUCUGCUGCCCUCUUCAAACUUCUCGUUUUUUUUCCCCCCCCGAAAAAUAAAUAAAUAUAAAAGCGAACUUGUCCCUGAUUCUGCACCUCCCUCCUCUUCUCUGCCUCCUGCGCGCAAUAAAGUCGACCCUCUUUAUGUAUGUGAGAGUGAUCCACGAAGGCAGUCUUAAGAAUGUCUCUCUCCUCCCCCCAACACCGCAUGGAGAGUGUGUGUGUGUGUGUGUGUGUGUACGCACUCGUCGUUUAUUGUGUCCACGAACAUAUAUGCACUCGCUUUUUCACUGCAUGUGAGAUUUACAAAUCAAAUUUGGCAAACGCGUAUUUCUUCAGAUGUCAAACAGACAAAUCUCAGCUUUUCUUCUUGCUCUUUGCCGAGGGAGAUGAAUUGGCGAGUGAGAGAGCUGGAGGCUGAAAGACGGACAAAUGGAGGACGGAGAGGACGGCAGAUAGAACAUUGGUCGGCGGCGCAAGCGGCCUUGAAUCGAGCUCAUGUUUCAUACGGUGGAUUUUUAAUAGAGGCUCUUUUAACACUAUGAUGAAAGGUUUAUUUGUCACACCAGUGAAGGGAAGAGACACAUUGUGAAGAUUCCAUUGAGCUGAACUAUCAACGGGCGAGCAACACAAUGAGGUGGGUUUGUUUGUUGGAAGGUUGUUGUAUCUUCAGUGCAGGAAGUGUCUUCACGCAGGAUUUAAGCUUCAACCAAUAGCGGCACUUUGCUCUUAAUUCAACUCAAUUCAUUUCUUGCAUCAUCCUGCACAAUCAUUCCCAAACUUCAACCUUAGCACGAGGUGAAAGUUUUACUGCCCAAAUAUAUUAGAAAAGCCACCAGGCGUAAAACCUGAUUUAAAAACAGGUUGUUAAAACCUCCGGAUAAGACUUGCUAGCUCGCUAGCUCGCGGCCAGUUUGGAGCGACGUCUUGUAUACGCGGCGUGUUGGUUCGCCUCCAGCCCUUCAGCACAUUGUAUUUCAUUCAAGUUCUAAGUUAUAGUUCUGCAUUAUUGUUUGAAAAUUAUAACAUGGGCCGUUUUUUGCUUUCGCCGCGGCUACGAUUUCUUUUUUUCCACACGAUACGCGUGACGCCCUUUCAGCGGUUGAUUUGGGGAAGAACACGUAACCCCAGGACAAAAAAUGCCUCACGUGUGUCUCAAGUGAUUGUUUUGGAGACGUUGAUCGAAACACAAAAAAACAACCCGUGACUGUGUAACGGUGUUUUUGGUUCGCUGAUGUUCAGCUACAAGCUAGCUGUAGCUACAAGCUAGCUGUAGCUACGAGCUAGCUGUAGCGUAAAAGCUGAAUGCAAGUUGCGUGCCGGGCUGUGACGUAAGUCUCCACGUGGCGUAACGCCGUCUCCGAACAGUCUGGAGGAGACGGCGGAGGACUGGGUUCUUUAAUCCAGUGUCCUCCCGGGACGACCGACCCUUUGACGUCACAGGACGAGUACCGCGACGCCGCGCCAACAAUCCCCACGAGGGACAAAAUGAAGCAUCUUGCUUUUCUUUUAACUGUUUAAGUGAUAAGAUUGUUGAUUAUAGAAUCAAGACCUGUUGAGUAAGUCGGCAGAAUUUUGAGAAGAAUUUGAAUUUUUACUGUGUUCUUUUGAUGAGACAAAAUACGUAUAUCCUAUAUAUAUAUAUAAAAUAUAAACAUAUCUAAAGAAUAGUUAAACUUUCAGUAAAAUUCAGUAAAAAAACGGCAAUACGAUUUAGAAAAAAAAAAUGAAAAUAAGAAUAGAAAUGAAAAAAGUAAAAUAACACGAGUGCUUGAUUGCAAUAUAACCAGUGAUAUUGUGUGUGAUAUUGAUAUAUUUAUAUUGAAAGGUAACUAUGAUAUUGCCCAUGAGGUGGAUGUUUUUCCUCGGUGGCCUCAGCCGGCUCCUUAAAGUGUCUCCGAUGUGGCGAGCAGGAGAUAACUGAGGACUUUUCUAAACGUCGCGCUAGUAUGAAUACGGGCAACGGGCGCAGAAUGAGGGAUCUUCUUCGCACGUGCACACGUCUACUCGGAUUGCGUGAUGGAACUUGAUUCUGUUGGUAUCAGAGAUUUCCACAUCUCGUUCUACCAUUUGGCCUCGUCGUCCUCCUCCUCCUCCUCCUCCUCCUCCUCCUCCUCCUCCGUAAAGCCUCGACAGGUGUGCUGCAAGGGACGGUUUCACACUCUUCCCCGGGAUUCACAAGUCAUGAGUUUCCCCGCGCUGGACGGCGACAAAGUGAGAAAACACAUACGUGUGUUGACGUCGCAAUCACAAAUUCCAAAAACGUGGUUUAGAAGGGCAGAAAAGAAACCCAAACGCGGCUAAUGGGGCUGCGACGGGGGAAUGGACGCUGCCCGUAAUCUGCCUUUGUCUUUUCCCAAACGUUAUCCCGCGUUUCCUCCGGCUCCACAACAUUAUGGAAGGGAAGCGGACGCUGGAGUCUGGGGGUGCUUUUCCGCUCCACGUGAGGGGGCCGUCACAACGCAACGCAGAGCCGCGGGAAAUUCGGCACGCGGGUCAGAAACUGAGACUAAAGGUCGGCUCGUGGCGCUUAAGGACUCGGCUGCGGUCUUGCUUUCUGCUUUUGUGCGGCAGGCUAUAGAAGCUCUUCGGGAACAGCCUUUUUCUACUGAAUGGCCACCCUUGCAUGCCCACCUCCUCUUCGCAUCCGCCCAUCUUCCCCCGGCCAGCUGUGUGUGUGUGUGUGUGUGUGUGUGUUUGUGUGUGUGCGUGGGAGUGUGAGGGUGAAGGAGGACCACUCUGCGUGGGCUGAACAGUGCCCGGGCUUUUCUCUGCUGUGGUGUUAAUAGGCCUUUUUUCUCCCCUCAGCGGGACACAGAGAGCUGUCAUUUACAUGGAGGUAAUGGAGUGAUGUAGAAGUGGAUGGAAUAUGUGUGGGCGAACGAUGAUGAAGGCCUAUGGCACCUCUCUCCCUCGCUCGCUCGCUCGCUCGCUCUCCCUCUCGCGCUCAUUCUCUCUCCCCAACUCUUUUUUUCCGCUUUUCUCCAGCGUCUUUCUCUCGUUCCCCACAUAGCUGAGUGCCGCGUUGCGUCUCCUUCGUCGACAUCACUCAUCAAGCGGCUGUUGUGAUCGCUGCCAAUCAGAAUAAACACCGGAAACCAAACAGCAAAGUUUUUUUUCUCCCUCUUCCCUCCCUUUUCUAAUGUUGAAUCCCGCUCAAAAACAAAGAGAGAAGGGAAGCAGGAGCCGCAGCCGAGGGUUGACGGAAUGAAAUGUCUCUGCAUAUCAAUUAGAUAUUCUUUCGUAACGCAUUAACAAUCGUUUGGUUAUCAAAGAAUUCGUGUCUCGCUUGGCAGUGGCACCGACGGCGGCGCUUGAGCGCCGUCCAAACACAUGGGAGAACGGGUUGGCUCGGUGGGAGAGUCGGAGAGCCUGCGUGGAAGGGGAAGGCAAUCAUCCAGCCAAGCUGCCACCACCAAUUUAGUUGUUCAGUUAAAUUACAUGAAAUUUCAGCGAAAGGGGUUCGAUCGACAGUUGAAGAGCCUGAUGAAAUAUUACACAUUGGUAACUGCUUCAUCACAAAAAAAAAAAUGAAAAGAAAGAAAGAGAUCCUGAGAGAUGGGAAAUGCAUGAAGUAUUUAGACAGGAAAAGCUCUGGUCACAUGAUCGAGUAUUGCAGUUUUCUCUCCCAUGGACACUAAGCUGUUUCUUUCUUGUGUCUCAUGAUGACGGAAUGCCGAUGGAACGUCAAUUAAGGUCCCAAGUUGCAACAGAGCAACGGUCAUCGCAGCUAUCAAAUAACGAAAAGGAGCCUUUAUGGUGGGUGCAGGUGCAGGUGGAGGUGCAGGUGGAGGUGGAGGUGCAGGUGGAGGUGGAGGUGCAGGUGGAGGAAGAUCGGUCCAAUCAAAACAGGACUUAAACCACGUGAACGCUCUCUUUUAAUCCCCACUUGUGGCUUGAAUAAUAUUUCCUACACCUGAUCAAUGGUUUUGUUGCCUAAACCCGUCUUUUAUGUCAUGAUGUGACGUCGCACUGUGAGAGACAUGAAAAGAAGAAGAAAACAUGCACACAAACCGAUAGAUUUGCUUCACAACACCAUUUACGAAAUAAAAAUGUCUCAAUAUUCUCAAUAAGUUAUGUGGGCUUCUGUUAAAUUACUUUUCUGUUAAAACACAUUUUUUAUCACACAAGUUGCAGAUAUAUAUUGAAGUAUAUUAUAUAUAUAUAUAUAUAUAUAUAU